rnacentral:rRNA from 1 species
UACGUAGGGGGCAAGCGUUGUCCGGAAUUAUUGGGCGUAAAGAGCGUGUAGGCGGUCCGGUAAGUCAGCUGUGAAAGUCAAGGGCUCAACCCUUGAAUGCCGGUUGAUACUGUCGGGCUAGAGUCCGGAAGAGGCGAGUGGAAUUCCCGGUGUAGCGGUGAAAUGCGCAGAUAUCAGGAGGAACACCGGCGGCGAAGGCGGCACUCUGGGCCGGUACUGACGCUGAGGAGCGAAAGCGUGGGUAGCAAACAGG